rnacentral:tRNA from 1 species
GCUCGUGUAGCUCAGGGGUAGAGCACACCCUUGGUAAGGGUGAGGUC